rnacentral:misc_RNA from 1 species
UCCGGUUUAACACCGGCAGUCUCCCUAGAGUCCCCAACUUAAUGAUGGUAACUAAGGACAGGGGUUGCGCUCGUUGCCGGACUUAACCGAACAUUUCACAACACGAGCUGACGACAGCCAUGCAGCACCUGUCUCCGCGUCCCCGAAGGGAACCCUACAUCUCUGUAGGUAGCACGGGAUGUCAAGGCUAGGUAAGGUUCUGCGCGUUGCUUCGAAUUAAACCACAUACUCCACCGCUUGUGCGGGCCCCCGUCAAUUCCUUUGAGUUUUAGCCUUGCGACCGUACUCCCCAGGCGGGAUACUUAAUGCGUGAGCUUUGGCACUCAGAGGGUUAACUCUCCGAACGCCUAGUAUCCAUCGUUUACGGCGUGGACUAC